AAAGUUUGAUAAAUUCAGCUAAAAAAAUAUUAAGAUUAUUUUUAAAGCUACUGUGACAUUACUAAGCCCUGUUGUAUUUUAUAUGGCUGUUACCAACAGCUAGAGAAUUUUAAAGGGGACAUAUUAUGAAAAAAAUCACCGCUCCCCUUUGGGAGCCAACACCCUGUCUCCACCCACCACGCCCUACAGGUUAUAAGAGCGCAGAGCUCAGGUGAAGCUCCGACAUUUUCUGCUUCACAGAUAGGAAUGGUUGGGUAGACCUAAACAUGCUCGUUACUCUGUUGGCGGCAGUGACCGGCACAAGUAUAUUGGCCCCAGCCUCAGAGGACUGAAGUUUACUUUUACCGGAGACGUCCCCACACUGUUGAUGCGACCUGAGUGUGUGUGUGUAGGCGAUGCGUUGUGUGCUUCACAGCGGACAAAUACUAUGCAGCACAGAACAGGACGGCAAUGAGACCUAACAUGAAAGAGGAGCAAUACCAACUACAGACGAUACUCUACCUGGCAGCCCUCCACUUCAAUGAAAGUGUUGGGCGUCCCUAAGCUACAACAUCAUCUGAUUAUGUUGGACCUCAUCUUUGAAAAAGGUUUUCCUAGAUUCUGGCCCACACGUGGAUGAGGUGCUGAAGAUCCCCAUCCCUGAGGAUUUUGCAGCCCAGUUUGCAAGACCAG